CCCUUAGAUGUUCUGGGCUGCACACGUGCUACACUGGCAGGUUCAGCGAGCUUCAUGCCCUGAUCAGAAAGGAAUGGGAAAUCUUUUCAAAACCUGCCGUGCUUGGGAUAGAUGUUUGCAAUUAUUCAUCUUCAACGAGGAUUGCCUUGUAAGCGCACGUCAUCAGCGUGCAUUGAAUACGACCCUGUAUUCUGUACACACCGCCCGUCGCUCCUACCGAUUGAAGUUUUCGGUGAGUUGACAGGAGGAUUUUUUUGAAACUGGUUCGCCAGUGGAUUUUAGAUCCAAAUGCCAACGAAUCGAUGGCUUUAGAGGAAGGAGAAGUCGUAACA
rnacentral:rRNA from 1 species